AAGAACUUCUUGGACUUCUAAAGAACGGUAACCAUUAGCUUGAAAUCUCAAAAAUUUCCUAUACCAAAAAAAGGGAAAAGGCAGUGAUCUCCCUUUGUUGGAGAAAGGAUCUUUGAUCUUAAUUUCAAAAACAAAAAACGGCAACUAGCUUUUGGGAUUUGGAAAACAACUCAACAAUUUUGGAUUCUUACACAAGAAAGAGGAGUUGCCGGCUGUCUUCAACAAAAGAAACACGCUCCAUUUCCUGUCCGACGAGCUCGUUCUUUGGACAAAGUAGAGAAAUUCUCUUCUGAUUUUCAUUUUUAAUUUUCUUGUAUAAAAUUAUCAAAAAUAAAAUUCUGUUCAUUCUUACCACAAAAAAUGGAGUUUGGUACUUUGAUUGAAGUUUUCUGUCAGAUUUUUAAGGUCGUAGUUGGGUCCGGCUCGUCGAUCUCCGUAUUUUGACCCGGUUUCCUUCCCAGCAGUAAGUCCGUGUAAUUGUCGCAACUCAAUUAAUCGGAAAGCUCUAAUUGAGGUUCAAUUCUUCAAUACUC
rnacentral:lncRNA from 1 species